AUAUGCUGGAAUGCUUUAUGCGUCAAACGGAUUCGUCUGCCCAAGGAUGGGUCUGCGGCCUAUCAGGUAGUAGUGGGUGUAAAGUACCUACUAGCCGACGACGGGUACGGGUUGUGAGAGCAAGAGCCCGGAGAUGGAUUCUGAGACAUGAAUCCAGGCCCUACGGGGCGCAGCAGGCGCGAAAACUUUACAAUGCGGGAAACCGUGAUAAGGGGACACCGAGUGCCAGCAUCAUAUGCUGGCUGUCCGGGUGUGUAAAAUACACCUGUUAGCAAGGGCCGGGCAAGACCGGUGCCAGCCGCCGCGGUAACACCGGCGGCCCGAGUGGUGAUCGUGAUUAUUGGGUCUAAAGGGUCCGUAGCCGGUUUGGUCAGUCCUCCGGGAAAUCUGACGGCUUAACCGUUAGGCUUUCGGAGGAUACUGCCAGGCUUGGAACCGGGAGAGGUAAGAGGUACUACAGGGGUAGGAGUGAAAUCUUGUAAUCCCUGUGGGACCACCUGUGGCGAAGGCGUCUUACCAGAACGGGUUCGACGGUGAGGGACGAAAGCUGGGGGCACGAACCGGAUUAGAUACCCGGGUAGUCCCAGCCGUAAACGAUGCUCGCUAGGUGUCAGGCAUGGCGCGACCGUGUCUGGUGCCGCAGGGAAGCCGUGAAGCGAGCCACCUGGGAAGUACGGCCGCAAGGCUGAACUUAAAGGAAUUGGCGGGGGAGCACAACAACGGGUGGAGCCUGCGGUUUAAUUGGAUUCA
rnacentral:rRNA from 1 species